UUCUGUUUAAGUUUUUAUUUUAAUCAUGUCAGAAAAGACAAAAAAGACCAUUUUAAAGCAACUUAAGGAACUAAAUGAACGAACAGUCUAUAUAGAUAUAGUGCCGAUAGUUCCUUUAGAUGAAUAGUCCAUCUGAACAAAUUCGUUCCAGAGCAACGCAACUCAAAAGUAGUAUUUAUUUUUUAACUUUAAUGUAAAUAUAAAUGGCACUGGAAUCGCCAGCCCAGCCGCCACCUAGAUUGGCGGCUCAACAUUCAAACGAACAGACACAUGUAUUUUUCCUUAAUACUACGCAACGACAGGUAAAAGCCCUCAACAAGUACAUCUGGAGAACAGCUGACAUGGAAUCCUUUCAAUCUAUGUGGCGUGUACUUUGUAUUUUGAAAUUAGGAUAAAAAAACCUAUAUUUGGAUUUCCUGACAACAACUAAUCCAUAUGAGCUAGACAUUUCUUGUUCUCCUAAUAUAACUAGCUAGAAAAUCCCUACACUAAUGAUAAAGGAUAAAUGUGUCACAAUUUUAAAGUUGACCUUGAUAUUUCUUCAAUAUUAAAAAUCGAGAUGAACAACACAUGAAUGACUGGGUUAAUCUGUACUGGAUGGAUUUCAAUGGUUCCCAAGACUUAUUUACCACCUUGCCGCCAGGGGCUGGUAUAAAAGCAAAUACUUUUGUAACACAUCCAUGGCUAUUUCGUGACGCCCGGACUGGUGAACGCAUGCAUGUGAAGCAUCAGGAUAUAUUUUGGCCACAAUUGUAUCGCGUAAAGAAUGCAGGACAAUGGCUACCAUGCCGAAAGCUAAUAGCAAUACAUCCACCUGUUACACAAAGCCUGCGUACAAGAUGUCUAUGGCGUUUUUCUGAACUAAUUUAUGGUAAAAACGACGAAUUUUUAUUAAGUUUGAAUUUACCUCGAACUUUGUAUAAUGAUGUUAAAUCGGUAUUAUCAUUAAUUGAGAAACACAGGUCUAUUGGCAUGGGCAGACGAAGAAAUAGUUAGCAAUAUGGGCUCGUAGCCACCAUUAAGCCCAUUAGGCAUAUGCACUGAACGACAUUGGGAAAACUUCUGGUGGUAAUAAAAAACUAAUUGAUCAAACACUAGAUGCCAUAUGAACCAACAAUAUCCCAUUGCAAUCGAGAUAACUUCGGUGCACUCAAUUUAAAAUUUGAAUGUGAUUUUGAAUUAAAAAAACCUUUUUACAAUAUUCUUUAAAAAA